rnacentral:rRNA from 1 species
CCCGGCGACCGGCGCACGGGUGAGUAACACGUAUGCAACCUGGCCGUGACAGAUGGAUAACCGGGAGAAAUCCCGCCUAAUACAACAUAAUGCCGGGAGGGGACAUCCCCUGCCGGCCAAAGGGGGCGACCCCGGUCACGGAUGGGCAUGCGGCGCAUUAGGUAGUUGGUGGGGCAACGGCCCACCAAGCCGACGAUGCGUAGGGGUUCUGAGAGGAAGGUCCCCCACAUUGGAACUGAGACACGGUCCAAACUCCUACGGGAGGCAGCAG